rnacentral:rRNA from 1 species
UACGGAGGGUGCAAGCGUUAUCCGGAUUUACUGGGCUUAAAGGGUGCGUAGGUGGGCAGGUAAGUCAGUGGUGAAAUCUUCAAGCUUAACUUGGAAACUGCCAUUGAUACUAUUUGUCUUGAAUUAUCUGGAGGUAAGCGGAAUAUGUCAUGUAGCGGUGAAAUGCUUAGAUAUGACAUAGAACACCAAUUGCGAAGGCAGCUCACUACACAAAUAUUGACGCUGAGGCACGAAAGCGUGGGGAUCAAACAGG